rnacentral:rRNA from 1 species
CCCCAGUAGCGGCGAGCGAACGGGGAGCAGCCCAGAGUCUGAAUCAGCUUGUGUGUUAGUGGAACGGUCUGGAAAGUCCGACGGUACAGGGUGAUAGUCCCGUACACCAAAAUGCACAGGUUGUGAACUCGAAGAGUAGGGCGGGACACGUGGUAUCCUGUCUGAAUAUGGGGGGACCAUCCUCCAAGGCUAAAUACUCCUGACUGACCGAUAGUGAACCAGUACCGUGAGGGAAAGGCGAAAAAGAACCCCGGCGAGGGGAGUGAAAAAGAACCUGAAACCGUGUACGUACAAGCAGUGGGAGCACCUUCGGGGUGUGACUGCGUACCUUUUGUAUAAUGGGUCAGCGACUUAUAUUCUGUAGCAAGGUUAACCGUAUAGGGGAGCCGCAGGGAAACCGAGUCUUAACUGGGCGUUAAGUUGCAGGGUAUAGACCCGAAACCCGGUGAUCUAGCCAUGGGCAGGUUGAAGGUUGGGUAACACUAACUGGAGGACCGAACCGACUAAUGUUGAAAAAUUAGCGGAUGACUUGUGGCUGGGGGUGAAAGGCCAAUCAAACCGGGAGAUAGCUGGUUCUCCCCGAAAGCUAUUUAGGUAGCGCCUCGUGAA